AUAAAAAAUGUGGACUUUUACAGCACUCUCUCGAUUCAAAGAGUUUCGGAUCAUAUUAUCCAUGUAUGGCAUUACUCACUGAAGACUGUAAUCACCGGUGCUCCAAAAUUUGUUUGGAAGAAAAAAUCUCGUGUAUGUCUUGCUCGCUACGGAUUUCACCCUUUUAUGUUCCAACUAAGUGGGGUCGCUAUGGCUUUCUAAAGUUUUUUUGCUUGGGCUGAAGACUCCAUUCAUCACUUCUUAAUUUUUACAGUGAGGUCAAUUUAUUUUUAAUUUUAAGUUUUUACGAUUUUUGAAUACUUAGGAUAUCUUUACUAAUUGCAUAUGUAUGUAUUCUUGAAAAUAUGUACAAUGUUUUUAAAUCCAGCUAGUUUUCUUACAAAGAUACAGAAUAAUCUGGCUCAUAUUCACUGUGGUAAUACAUAUGUACAUAUCUUUCAAUCUUUAUAGAGAAAUAAAACAAAAAUAACUCCUUAAUCUAACAAAUAUUUUCAAUAUUUUAAGGCCGUUGCACUAAUUAGGCGUGCUGAGGGUAUAGUAACACUUGUUUUAUUAACUCUGAAAUCGGAGGAAGCUCUAAAAGCCGAAAAAGAUGCUGCAGAAAAGAAAAAAGAAGAAGCAAAAAUAGAAGCUGAAAAACCACAGGAUCCUUCCGUUGCGGAAAUAAAAGUCAACAAGAAAAUCCUUAUUGAAUUGAAAAUUGAAAAGAAACCUCUUGGAGUAAUUGUUGUUGGAGGCAAGAACAACCAAGUCAAGACCGGAUGCGUUAUAACCCACAUCUAUCCAGAUGGAGCGAUAGCAGCAGAUAAACGCCUAAAUAUUUUCGACCACAUAGUGGAAGUUAACAGCAAGCCAGUGAAUUGCAGUGAAAUGACGACGUUAAAAGUGCACCAAAUAUUCCACACAACGUACGAGAAAGUUGUAACAUUCCAAGUAUUUCGUGCUGACCCGUUUGAGGUAGAAAAGUUAAAUAUCGAAUUUAUAAAGAAACCAGGAAAAGACUUGGGACUUUCAUUAGCACCAAAUGAACGCGGCUGCACAAUUUCCGAAAUUAUACCUUCUGGCUACGCUGAGAUUGAUAAUAAGUUACAACGUGGUGAUAUCAUAACCAAAUUCAAUGGUGAUUCUUUGGACGGAUGCACUUUUGAAAUAUGCUACGCCUUAUUCAAAGGAGCCAACGGAAAAAUUUCAAUGGAAAUUACAAGACCUAAACCUACAUGUCGCACUGAAGCGUCCAAAUAAUUGAAAUAAAAAACAUUUGUAUAUUACAUUUAAAUGUAAUUUAAAUA